CCCGGGCCUUGUACACACCGCCCGUCACACCACGAAAGUCGGCAACACCCGAAGCCAGUGGCCCAACCCUUUUGGGAGGGAGCUGUCGAAGGUGGGGCUGGCGAUUGGGGUG
rnacentral:rRNA from 1 species